GAGGCAGAAGCGAAAUUUAGCAAUUAAGUUUGCAAUGACAAAUGCUUUUCGAAGUUUUAAAGCAUUAAGUGGACAAUCUAGGGGAAGUAAAUUGACAUGGCAUUUGGGACAGUGUCCUCAACAAUUGGGUGGACGUGAGUGUGGCUACUACGUCAUGCGUUAUAUGUACGAAAUACUU